GGGUUGUGAGGUUAAGCGACUAAGCGUACACGGUGGAUGCCCGGCAGUCAGAGGCGAUGAAGGACGUGCUAAUCUGCGAAAAGCGCCGGCGAGGUGAUAUGAACCCUUGACCCGGCGAUGUCCGAAUGGGGAAACCCAGUGCAAUCCGUUGCACUAUCGUUAACUGAAUACAUAGGUUAACGAGGCGAACCGGGGAACUGAAACAUCUAAGUACCCCGAGGAAAAGAAAUCAACCGAGAUUCCCCAGUAGCGGCGAGCGAACGGGGAGCAGCCCGAGUCUGAAUCAGCUUGUGUGUUAGUGGAACGGUCUGGAAAGUCCGACGGUACAGGGUGAUAGUCCCGUACACGAAAGCACACUUGCUGUGAACUCGAAGAGUAGGGCGGGACACGUGGUAUCCUGUCUGAAUAUGGGGACCAUCCUCCAAGGCUAAAUACUCCUGACUGACCGAUAGUGAACCAGUACCGUGAGGGAAAGGCGAAAAGAACCCCGGCGAGGGAGUGAAAAGAACCUGAAACCGUGUACGUACAAGCAGUGGGAGCCUCUUUAUGGGGUGACUGCGUACCUUUGUAUAAUGGGUCAGCGACUUAUAUUCUGUAGCAAGGUUAACCGUAUAGGGAGCCGAAGGAAACCGAGUCUUAACUGGGCGUUAAGUUGCAGGGUAUAGACCCGAAACCCGGUGAUCUAGCCAUGGGCAGGUUGAAGGUUGGGUAACACUAACUGGAGGACCGAACCGACUAAUGUUGAAAAAUUAGCGGAUGACCUGUGGCUGGGGUGAAAGGCCAAUCAAACCGGGAGAUAGCUGGUUCUCCCGAAAGCUAUUUAGGUAGCGCCUCGUGAACUCAUCUUCGGGGUAGAGCACUGUUUCGGCUAGGGGCCAUCCCGGCUUACCAACCCGAUGCAAACUACGAAUACCGAAGAAUGUUAUCACGGGAGACACACGGCGGGUGCUAACGUCCGUCGUGAAGAGGGAAACAACCCAGACCGCCAGCUAAGGUCCCAAAGUCAUGGUUAAGUGGGAAACGAUGUGGGAAGGCACAGACAGCCGGGAUGUUGGCUUAGAAGCAGCCAUCAUUUAAAGAAAGCGUAAUAGCUCACUGGUCGAGUCGGCCUGCGCGGAAGAUGUAACGGGGCUAAACCAUGCACCGAAGCUGCGGCAGCGACACUAUGUGUUGUUGGGUAGGGGAGCGUUCUGUAAGCCGUUGAAGGUGGCCUGUGAGGGUUGCUGGAGGUAUCAGAAGUGCGAAUGCUGACAUAAGUAACGAUAAAGCGGGUGAAAAGCCCGCUCGCCGGAAGACCAAGGGUUCCUGUCCAACGUUAAUCGGGGCAGGGUGAGUCGACCCUAAGGCGAGGCCGAAAGGCGUAGUCGAUGGGAAACAGGUUAAUAUUCCUGUACUUGGUGUUACUGCGAAGGGGGACGGAGAAGGCUAUGUCAGCCGGGCGACGGUUGUCCCGGUUUAAGCAUGUAGGCGGAGGUUCCGUAAAUCCGGUACCUUAUUAACGCUGAGGUGUGAUGACGAGGCACUACGGUGCUGAAGUGAUAAAUGCCCUGCUUCCGUGAAAAGCCUCUAAGCAUCAGGUAACACGAAAUCGUACCCCAAACCGACACAGGUGGUCAGGUAGAGAAUACCAAGGCGCUUGAGAGAACUCGGGUGAAGGAACUAGGCAAAAUGGUGCCGUAACUUCGGGAGAAGGCACGCUGAUGUGUAGGUGAAGCCCCUGCGGGUGGAGCUGAAAUCAGUCGAAGAUACCAGCUGGCUGCAACUGUUUAUUAAAAACACAGCACUGUGCAAACACGAAAGUGGACGUAUACGGUGUGACGCCUGCCCGGUGCCGGAAGGUUAAUUGAUGGGGUUAGCGGCAACGCGAAGCUCUUGAUCGAAGCCCCGGUAAACGGCGGCCGUAACUAUAACGGUCCUAAGGUAGCGAAAUUCCUUGUCGGGUAAGUUCCGACCUGCACGAAUGGCGUAAUGAUGGCGGUGCUGUCUCCACCCGAGACUCAGUGAAAUUGAACUCGCUGUGAAGAUGCAGUGUACCCGCGGCAAGACGGAAAGACCCCGUGAACCUUUACUAUAGCUUGACACUGAACACUGGUCCUUGAUGUGUAGGAUAGGUGGGAGGCUUUGAAGCGUGGACGCCAGUCUGCGUGGAGCCAACCUUGAAAUACCACCCUUUAAUGGCUGGUGUUCUAACGUAGACCCGUAAUCCGGGUUGCGGACAGUGUCUGGUGGGUAGUUUGACUGGGGCGGUCUCCUCCCAAAGAGUAACGGAGGAGCACGAAGGUUGGCUAAUCUGGUCGGACAUCAGGAGGUUAGUGCAAUGGCAUAAGCCAGCUUGACUGCGAGCGUGACGGCGCGAGCAGGUGCGAAAGCAGGUCAUAGUGAUCCGGUGGUUCUGAAUGGAAGGGCCAUCGCUCAACGGAUAAAAGGUACUCCGGGGAUAACAGGCUGAUACCGCCCAAGAGUUCAUAUCGACGGCGGUGUUUGGCACCUCGAUGUCGGCUCAUCACAUCCCGGGCUGAAGUAGGUCCCAAGGGUAUGGCUGUUCGCCAUUUAAAGUGGUACGCGAGCUGGGUUUAGAACGUCGUGAGACAGUUCGGUCCCUAUCUGCCGUGGGCGCUGGAGAAUUGAGGGGCUGCUCCUAGUACGAGAGGACCGGAGUGGACGCAUCACUGGUGUUCGGGUUGUCAUGCCAAUGGCACUGCCCGGUAGCUAAAUGCGGAAGAGAUAAGUGCUGAAAGCAUCUAAGCACGAAACUUGCCCCGAGAUGAGUUCUCCCUGAGACCUUGAGUCUCCUGAAGGAACGUUGAAGACGACGACGUUGAUAGGUCGGGUGUGUAAGCGCAGCGAUGCGUUGAGCUAACCGAUACUAAUGAACCGUGAGGCUUAACCUUACAACGCCGAAGGUGUUU
rnacentral:rRNA from 1 species